CCUACGGGAGGCAGCAGUGAGGAAUAUUGGUCAAUGGCCGGGAGGCUGAACCAGCCAAGUCGCGUGAGGGAAGAAGGCCCUACGGGUUGUAAACCUCUGUUGUGGGGGAGCAAGGUGCAGGGCGGGAACGGCUGUGAGAGUACCCGAAGAAAAAGCAUCGGCUACCUCCGUGCAAGCAGCCGCGGUAAUACGGCGGCUGCGAGUGUUAUCCGGAUGUCUUGGGGUUAACGGGUGCGCCGGCGGAGGCACAAGUCAGCGGUAAAAUCGCGGGGCUCAACCCCGCUCAGCCGUUGAAACUGUUUCCCUCGAGUGCGCGAGGUGUAGCCGGAAUGCGUGGUGUAGCGGUGACAUGC
rnacentral:rRNA from 1 species